CCGAGAUGACUGCUGGCAUUUGUCAACAAUCCUGUCAUAGUGACAGCAAUAAGGCCAUGUCUGGAAAUGUGACAGUUUUGGCUUUGUGCUCCCCUGAGCAAUAGCCCAGGUGUUCAGAGAAAGUGUGGGAAAACCCAUAUUUCUGCAUUGUCAUUCGAACACAGAAAACACAGGAGGAAAAUGAGCUGUCACUCCAAUUCCCAUGAUGCCUUGCUGCUUAGCAUAACUCUACAGUGCGGCCCUGGGUCCACUGGUCCAUAUUCUGACAGAUAAUUAAGAAAGCAGCAGCUUUUUCUAGACGGCUCUUCCUCAUGAUUUGCAUUUUAGCCAGAGGCGACCAGUUAUAAAAAAAACAUGAUGGAAAGAUGGUAAGAAGCCAAUUAGAUGGAUGGAUGGCUGACUGACAGCUCUCUGGUAUUACGACUCCAGAUUUCAGACUACAUAGCCUGGCAGUUUUCUACAAGAACCAACUUUUUUGCAGAAGGUCAUACAUAUGCUAUUGGAGAGUUCACAGCUAGCCCCUCACUACUCAAAUUGUGGGUGUUAUUGCCAGACUGCGGAGAUGCACAAGAAUUGACUUGAGAAGCAAGGAGAUUAUUCAUGCUCCUGCACACUCUGUUAUCUCUGGGAGCUCUUAAUCAAUGCAGGGUGAGAGCCAGUUAGCAUGACUGAGGUUAGGGUAAACGGGCUGUUCAGGGAAAGAUAAAUUAAAAUGUGAUUAUUAUUCAAAUUGGAAUAUAGAGAACAUAAUCCAUGAUGGAAGAGAAGGAGAAUAAUAGAAAUAAAUAAAAAUUUACCUACUGAAUCACUUGCUCUAUUGAAUCUAGUCCUUGAAAUUCCAAAGACAUUAUAAUAUGCUAUGACUAAAGGGAAUGAUUUGGGAGAUUUAUACUCUAUCUUUAUUGGCUCCUGCAGAUAUGCUGAAAUACAAAUUCUCACAUGCUGGAAAUGUCUACUAAAUGUACCUUGAUAUACAAAUUAAAUUCUCCUAUAGAAAACUGUACUGUACUCAAAAACCUAUAUACAAAUAAAAAGACUAAAUUCUAAAUAACAGUUGAUGGUUCCGUGAUUAUGAAGAAAUUCUAGUCAUAAACACCAGAAUUUAGGUUACAACUUUGGAGCUCAUUAGGUCUUUAAUAAUGUAAUUUACCGAAAAGAUUUUGAAAAUACUUUGUUAAUAUUUAAAAGCAUGAUUUCCUUAUUUAAUAAUAAUUUAUUCUACAGCUAAUUUGAAAAAGUGUUAGUCAUAAAUGUGUUUACUUUGUCUUGUUCUUGAAGAUAUUGCUGCUAAUGUAAAAGACCAGUGAUUUAAAUUCAUGUAUGUCUUAGUUGCAUGAACCAUUUUACUUUAUUUUUCUUAGAUUGUGCCUAUAAACUUCUAUAUCUUGGUGAGCUUCUCUUUUUCCUAAAAAUGUUACCUACCAUGUGUUUUUAUUCCAUAUUUUCAUCAUAUAGUUUGACCUUUUCCUUCACAAUCUAGUUUCUAGAUAGUUAUGUUCACUACUGAGAUUUCAGCUGUCUCUGGCAUAUGGCCUUAAUGUUAGAUAACUUAUAAUCAGCAAUUACUAGAACUGAUAACAGACCAUGGAAAUUCAGAUAAAUCUUGGGGAAUUAUUUUUAAAAAUACCUUGACAUUCUCUCUCUGGAUAGAUGCAUUCACAUACAUUGCUUUAGCUUCUUUUCACUUACAGAUAUCCGGGUCAGAGCAGAUAAAAUUCAAGCCGCCAUGAACAUGCUGUGCUUUGCUGUGCUUCAGGGGAGAACUUCCAAACCACCUUUAUUCAGAACAGCAAAAUACCUGUGGUUUAGGCUCAUCAACCAUUGUCUGUCUUUCUGCUCUUCUCUCUCUAGAGAUAGUAGAGAAAGCUAGGCUGCCACAUAAACACUUCAACUUCAGGGAAAUUGGAAGCUAUGAAGUACUUCAAGCAUUACAAAUUCACCCCUUCUGUCUUGUUUUUCUAUCUCCCUUCUUUUUUCCCUCCUUUAUUGUCAUCUGUCUUCAAAUUUAAAUCUUGAAAAUUAGGGAAUAUUUACAUUGAUAGAAGUCUUUGAAAAUAUCAUUUUUAUUAUUAAGAAGCAAAAUAUAAUUUUGUACCUUUCAGUCAAUAUGAAAUGGCCAAUUAUGUUUAAUUUUACAAACUGAAUAAACCUUAUAUAAAAAAUGUGAACUAUGAAAGGAGCAUGGCAUUUAUCAUUCAUUUUUUGCAAUGCUUUAAUUUAAAAGUAAAAGUAUUGCUGUAAAAUAUGUGGUCUUUCAAAAUGAUGAAUUAAUUCACUUGACAUUUUUGGUGUUGUUUGAAAUUACUUUCAGGUGAUGCUGUGAUAUUAACUACUACAUGUUCUUUGAUAUAUAACACAAGAGAUCUUGAACUUAUUUUCAUGAUACCUAGACAGACCCCUUUCUGUUCAUGAUGGCUAAAAUAUCAAGUUUUUUUCCCCAC
rnacentral:lncRNA from 1 species